ACGUCGUUGUGAGAUGCCAGCGCAUGAUACUAAUCAGAUUUGACAGCUCAUCCCGCACUCCAUGGACAGCUCGCCUUGCUCUAUUGAAUUCAGUAUGUAGCAGUUCACCACCCUGCUCGUUGAAUGCUGCAAUCGUCAGUGUAUCAAGAGGAAGUCCAUUAACUAUCCGUCGAGGUUCAGAAGUCGGGUCUUCGAUGACUGGUUUCUGUGAGGGAUGCGUGAGAACUCAUCUUGAAAUCACCAGACAAUUCGCUUGCGACUUUCUUGUCAAAGUCAGUGACCAAUCUGGCAUCGUCAUCAUCAAGCAACCUGGAGAUUGCUCUCUGCUG